AUGAACGCUGGCGGCGUGCCUAAUACAUGCAAGUCGAGCGAACAGACGAGGAGCUUGCUCCUCUGACGUUAGCGGCGGACGGGUGAGUAACACGUGGAUAACCUACCUAUAAGACUGGGAUAACUUCGGGAAACCGGAGCUAAUACCGGAUAAUAUAUUGAACCGCAUGGUUCAAUAGUUAAAGACGGUUUUGCUGUCACUUAUAGAUGGAUCCGCGCCGCAUUAGCUAGUUGGUAAGGUAACGGCUUACCAAGGCAACGAUGCGUAGCCGACCUGAGAGGGUGAUCGGCCACACUGGAACUGAGACACGGUCCAGACUCCUACGGGAGGCAGCAGUAGGGAAUCUUCCGCAAUGGGCGAAAGCCUGACGGAGCAACGCCGCGUGAAUGAUGAAGGUCUUCGGAUCGUAAAACUCUGUUAUUAGGGAAGAACAAAUGUGUAAGUAACUAUGCACGUCUUGACGGUACCUAAUCAGAAAGCCACGGCUAACUACGUG
rnacentral:rRNA from 1 species